CGGGUUGCAGCAGUGGGGAAUUUUGGACAAUGGGGGCAACCCUGAUCCAGCAAUGCCGCGUGAGUGAAGAAGGCCUUCGGGUUGUAAAGCUCUUUUGUCGGGGAAGAAACGGUGAGGUUUAAUACACUUCACUAAUGACGGUACCCGAAGAAUAAGCACCGGCUAACUACGUGCCAGCAGCCGCGGUAAUACGUAGGGUGCAAGCGUUAAUCGGAAUUACUGGGCGUAAAGCGUGCGCAGGCGGUUAUGUAAGACAGAUGUGAAAUGCCCGGGCUCAACCUGGGAACUGCAUUUGUGACUGCAUGGCUAGAGUGUGUCAGAGGGGGGUAGAAUUCCACGUGUAGCAGUGAAAUGCGUAGAGAUGUGGAGGAAUACCGAUGGCGAAGGCAGCCCCCUGGGAUAACACUGACGCUCAUGCACGAAAGCGUGGGGAGCAAACAGGAUUAGAUACCCGUGU
rnacentral:rRNA from 1 species